UACGUAGGGUGCAAGCGUUGUCCGGAAUUAUUGGGCGUAAAGAGCUCGUAGGCGGUUUGUUGCGUCGGCUGUGAAAUCCCGAGGCUCAACCUCGGGUCUGCAGUCGAUACGAGCAAACUAGAGUGUUGCAGGGGAGACUGGAAUUCCUGGUGUAGCGGUGGAAAAUGCGGCAGAUAUCAGGAGGAACACCGGUGGCGAAGGCGGGUCUCUGGGCAACAACUGACGCUGAGGAGCGAAAGCGUGGGGAGCGAACAGG
rnacentral:rRNA from 1 species